rnacentral:rRNA from 1 species
GACGAACGCUGGCGGCGUGCUUAACACAUGCAAGUCGAACGGAAAGGCCCUGCUUGCCGGGUGCUCGAGUGGCGAACGGGUGAGUAACACGUGGGUGAUCUGCCCCUUACUUUGGGAUAAGCCUGGGAAACUGGGUCUAAUACUGGAUAGGACCAUGCUGUAGGUGGUGUGGUGGAAAGAUUAGUUUCGGUAAGGGAUGAGCUCGCGGCCUAUCAGCUUGUUGGUGGGGUAAUGGCCUACCAAGGCGUCGACGGGUAGCCGGCCUGAGAGGGUGGACGGCCACAUUGGGACUGAGAUACGGCCCAGACUCCUACGGGAGGCAGCAGUGGGGAAUAUUGCACAAUGGGCGCAAGCCUGAUGCAGCGACGCCGCGUGGGGGAUGACGGCCUUCGGGUUGUAAACUCCUUUCAGCCAUGACGAAGCCUUCGGGUGACGGUAGUGGUAGAAGAAGCACCGGCUAACUACGUG